UGCUAAAAUAGUAAUUUCAUCUCCUUUCCUCACUAACUCAUUUAUGCAUUCAGUAAGUGUUUUCUGAGUACCUAUCAUGUGCACUAUCUGAGUACCUAUUUUGGGUGAUGGAGUACAUUUUGUUUAGAAAUUUACAAAAGCAUUUUAAUUUGCAGGUAAUAUAACAGAAAUCUGCAUAAAGUAGAGAAAGAGGAAAAAAGAUGAUAUUGAUUAACUCCACUGAGAAUCAAAGGAAGUGGGAUGGUGAUCAGGAAAAGUUUCACAGAAGAGAAAAGAUCCAGUAGAGGAGAGACUGGAAAUAUAAGAAAGAGAGAAAUAAAGUGAGACAGGAAGAAAAAGAGAGAAGGAAGACAGAAGAUGGAGGAGAGGAGAGAGAACAGAGAAAGAAUCAUGUCCAGAAGAGGAAUUCUUGGAGUGUUGAGCUAAAAAGGAUAGAGAAGAGGAAAAGUCUAACAGUCGGAAAAAAAAAAAAAAAGGAAGAGAUAUUUCUUUCUCUAGAGUGAGAUGGAUUUCAUCCAAGAAAAUCCCACCAUUCAUCUCAACUCCUUCCUUCACAGGAACAACCAGAUGACAUGUUGGCUGUCUUCAUUAGUGUCCCAUAGAGACCCUCCAAGAUUCCCCGACACUACGCAAUCCUCAACCCAUGCAGGCUGCUGAUGUAAAUGCCAAGUAUUGUUUGUGAGACAGAGAUAGGAUUGUGGAUGCCACAGACCCAUCUGUGGCUUUAGAACGACUGUUGUUUUAAGAAAUGGCCUUCUCUGUGACCUGCCUGCUAUUUCAGAGACGGUAUGUCGGUCACCAUCAAACAGACUUGGAAUUAACAUAAAGAUGAAACAGCUGAGGCAGUGAGCGCAUUACUGGAAACUCAGAAUCACUGUGGUGAAGCGUUCCCCACUCAAGUAAAAAGGAGCCUUUAAAGAAGACUGUGCAAUUUACAAAUCUUGGUUGAGAAUGUGUCCUUUGUGUUUCUCUUUUGGAGCUGAAUUUUAUGAAUUGCUGAAAACGGAACCCUAAGUAAUACUUGUAGUGAUCAUAAGAAUUUUUUUUUUUCCCUAAGUGUGCACAAAUAAAGUUCUAAAUGCC
rnacentral:lncRNA from 1 species